GACGAACGCUGGCGGCGUGCUUAACACAUGCAAGUCGAACGGAAAGGCCCUGCUUGCAGGGUGCUCGAGUGGCGAACGGGUGAGUAACACGUGGGUGAUCUGCCCCUUACUUUGGGAUAAGCCUGGGAAACUGGGUCUAAUACUGGAUAGGACCAUGCUGUAGGUGGUGUGGUGGAAAGAUUAGUUUCGGUAAGGGAUGAGCUCGCGGCCUAUCAGCUUGUUGGUGGGGUAAUGGCCUACCAAGGCGUCGACGGGUAGCCGGCCUGAGAGGGUGGACGGCCACAUUGGGACUGAGAUACGGCCCAGACUCCUACGGGAGGCAGCAGUGGGGAAUAUUGCACAAUGGGCGCAAGCCUGAUGCAGCGACGCCGCGUGGGGGAUGACGGCCUUCGGGUUGUAAACUCCUUUCAGCCAUGGCGAAGCCCUUGUGGUGACGGUAGUGGUAGAAGAAGCACCGGCUAACUACGUGCCAGCAGCCGCGGUAAUACGUAGGGUGCGAGCGUUGUCCGGAAUUACUGGGCGUAAAGAGCUCGUAGGUGGUCUGUCGCGUCAUUUGUGAAAGCCCGGGGCUUAACUCCGGGUUGGCAGGUGAUACGGGCAUGACUGGAGUACUGUAGGGGAGACUGGAAUUCCUGGUGUAGCGGUGAAAUGCGCAGAUAUCAGGAGGAACACCGGUGGCGAAGGCGGGUCUCUGGGCAGUAACUGACGCUGAGGAGCGAAAGCAUGGGUAGCGAACAGGAUUAGAUACCCUGGUAGUCCAUGCCGUAGACGGUGGGCGCUAGGUGUGGGUUUCCUUCCACGGGAUCCGUGCCGUAGCUAACGCAUUAAGCGCCCCGCCUGGGGAGUACGGCCGCAAGGCUAAAACUCAAAGGAAUUGACGGGGGCCCGCACAAGCGGCGGAGCAUGUGGAUUAAUUCGAUGCAACGCGAAGAACCUUACCUGGGCUUGACAUGCACUGGAUGCGGCCAGGGAUGGUUGUUCCCUUUGUGGCUGGUGUGCAGGUGGUGCAUGGUUGUCGUCAGCUCGUGUCGUGAGAUGUUGGGUUAAGUCCCGCAACGAGCGCAACCCUUGUCUCGUGUUGCCAGCAUUUGGUUGGGGACUCGCGGGAGACUGCCGGGGUUAACUCGGAGGAAGGUGGGGAUGACGUCAAAUCAUCAUGCCCCUUAUGUCCAGGGCUUCACACAUGCUACAAUGGCUGGUACAGAGAGUUGCGAUACCGUGAGGUGGGGCUAAUCUCGUAAAGCCAGUCUCAGUUCGGAUUGGAGUCUGCAACUCGACUCCAUGAAGUCGGAGUCGCUAGUAAUCGCAGAUCAGCAAUGCUGCGGUGAAUACGUUCCCGGGCCU
rnacentral:rRNA from 1 species